UCCGUUUUUGCAAGGUGUUGUGUUACUCCUCCACUCCUUGGUCCUUGCUCGUGGCCGUAUCUGCCCCGAAUUUUUUUCAUUCUGGUAGGGUAGACUCACGUGUGGGUUGCAAUUGCAAUGCUGUAUACACACGGGACAGUAGCAGAGCCAUCCCAAUUCCCACCCGAUUCGGCUCAUUUGCACAAGUUCACCCGGACAGCAGUAGCGUUGCUAGCGGCCUGUGCGCUGCUGCGCUCAUCGCGACUGGAAGCUCGGGCGCCGCGGGGAGACCGGCCGGCGAUGUUCGCGACGGCGGCGCGGUGGGCGGCGAAGAAGGGGAGGCCCAAGAUGGCGCGGAUCCAGCUGACGGUGCCGCCGGAGCAGGCCCAGUCCAUCACGCGCGCCAUCUUCGACAUCGUCCGCGGGCACGGCCCGCUAACCAUCUCCGAUGUCUGGCCAGUCUGGGACCACGUUAAGGUGUUAGUCUUGUGGGACUGGCAAGCAAGCGGCAGAUGGAGAUCAUGCUGCGGUGGAUGAGGGGGCGCCAGAAGCUCAGGCUCGUCUGCGACCACGAUUAGGAAUUUGCCGGUGCAAGAUUAUGGAGCCGAUCUGAUUGGAGCCCGUGCAGGUACGUGCGAGUGCAGGUGCAAAUUUAGAUGCUGCGGAGGAGGAGCUCGCGCAGUGCGUGCUUCUCCUUGAGCUCCGCCACGGACGCCAUCAGGUACUGCACGCUAGCCUUUGCGGUGGGAACUCGCAAGACGACGGGGUGGCAGGUCUACCAGGAUGCGCGCCAUGGCCGAUUCAUCCGACGCGCCGUAGAGCUCAACGCCCUGAAUGAAAAUCAUCGGAUGAUCAUUGGCGUUUGGGGACUGAACCAAACUUGUUUAGAGCAUCUCCAAGAGUGCCUAAAAAUUAGAGUCCUAAAAUACUGACUUUGGAAUCUUGCCAAAAAAUUUUGGGAGGAAAAAAUAUCACAUUCACCAACAGUUUCCAAAAAUAGCUCCCAAAACGGUUUAAUUGCUGCCACAUCAUCCAUCCUUGGGUCCAUCAUUUUAUCUUGUUCUCGUAAUUGACCCUCGCCUCCAUUCCCAGCAGGCCACCGCUGCUCUUCUCUCUCAUGUGUUCUUUGUUUUCCAUCAAGCAAAUCAGCAACAGCUCGAUCUUCCUCUCCUCCGAGCUUGGCCAAACAUCGAUCUCCAUACUUUCUUCUCUAAACCGAAGCACCCAAGCAAUCGGCAGCUAGCAGCUCUCCUCUCUAAUCAGAGCUUCACAGCUAGAGAGCCAAGCAUGCCUGCUCCUUAUCGAUCCCUAUUCUUCUUUGCACUGCUUCCAAAUCAAUGUAGCUAGCCAAGCACUAAAACCACCCACGCCAUCUCUAAUUCCUUCCAAUCAAAGCAGCUUGCGGCCUUGCGCUCCUCCGUAUCCUGCUGUUCUCCUACCCACCGAAGCAAUCAGUGGUUUUAGCUCGAGGCCGAGCACCCUGCGCCACAUCUUUUAUCCCUUCUCUACGAGCAAAACAGGCAGCCAGCCACAGAGCAAGUCAAGCACCCCCUCUUCCGCACCGGUCCUCGCCCACCUGCAAGCCAUGGCGGCCUGAGUAGCGCAACGCCAGCAUUGCCUGUAGAGGGCGGAUGGCCCUUUUGCCGGCAUCAACCCUAGAGCCUUGUGCGCCUGCACGAGAAGGAUGGAAGGGGAGAAGUGAAAAUGGCGUGCUGGGAAGAAGUGACGCGGAAUCGCAGAGGAAGAAAACCAGCGAACCGCCGAUUGGGAGCGCAAGCUAGCGGCGUAAAAAUGGCUCGGUUGGCCGCUGGUAUUGGACGCGCGAGAAUACUGGGCACCGUUUUUGGCAUCUGUUGGAGCUGGUAUUUUUAUGUUUGGUUCCAAAAUUGACAUUUGGUAAUGCAUUUUGGGCACUUUUGAGAUGGUCUUAGAGAGACGGAUCGCACAUCAGGCGACGGACGAGUGCGACGCUGCCGUCCUGCUUAGGCUCUUUUUUUUAUAUAUAUAUAUAGUACUAGCAUAGUGUCUGUGUGUUGCUACGGGUAAUAUAAAUAUUAUCCAUAUCUACACGAGACUAGCAUGAUGUAUUAAUUGUCCAUUUUUUUAUUGUGAUUCGGAUUGAUUUAUGUGGGUUCUGAUUAGGAUUCCAAUUGACGGAUCGUGGAAUCAUUGUAAGUAGAGAUAGAGACAUAAGUAGAGAUAGAGAUAGGAUUGACAAAUAUGCUGGUG